GGCAUAGCAGCCAGGGGAGGGCAGGGAGAAGAAAAACAACACAUACACACACAGCGGAAUUAGAUUAAUUGAGAAAAACGCAAUGGCUCAAAAGAUGUUGAUGAUGGCGGUUCUUGUGAUAUUGGGGACGACGAUGGCGACCGUUACGGUUGCAAAUCCGACUUGUUUGCAGAGCUUGAUGUCUUGUGCUCCUUACUUCAACAACACUGAUGUCCAACUGCCAGACGAUUGCUGUAAACCUCUCCAACAAGCCGUCGCUACUGAACUUAUUUGCCUUUGCAGCCUCUUCAACCUGCCUUCUUUGCUUAGUUCUUUUGACAUCCCCUACGUUGGAGCUCUUAGGAUCGCCAAUCAGUGCGGUGUCGUUGAUAUAAUCAGCGACUGCAUCAGCGCUCCUUCUCCUGCUCCUUCCCCAUAAGCUACUUCUUCCACAUCUGCUCCACCCCUCACCAGGAGGUGAAAGCGCAGGUGUUGACAAGAUUGCUUUGUCAGGAAUCAUCACUUUGUUCUUAUGUUUAGCAUGGAUCAUUGUGUACUAUGGUAACGUAUUUCCUACAUGAGUUGAAGGGGAAUUUCAUCUUAGAACAAAUAAUAAAGACAACAUUCAGAUGUAGACAUUUCGAGUUUAGAUUAUCUUGAGAUUUCUAUUGUCUGAUUCUCUCUCUAUAUAUUUAUUUGUAUGCUUGUUUGGUCAAUAAUAUUGUUAGCAUAUAUGUUAUUUAUUCAA